AUUCUAAAGAACAAUUUUUUCUAGAAAAGUAGCAUAGGACAUUUACAGCUAAGCUGCCACAGUUCAAACCUGUAACGCAAUUUUUAAAAAGAAAGAAAGAAAAAAGGAUUUUGGUUCACAAAAACUAUCACUUUGUCGAAAGACAGCGCUUCAAGCCCCAGAGUAAGGAGCAUCUCCAAUUCUAACUAAGUUAUCCAGCAGUUAGCACAGCUGCAUCAGCAUCAUGGCUGACGCCAGCUAAUUACCAGGUGGACAUCUGAACGUGCUACGCAGAGGAACCAGAGCACGAGCUUCAUGGCGGGAGAACUUUCACCAUAUCCCAGAACCAAGACCGGAGCUGGCCCUCAGUAAGCCUAGGAACUCAAGAAUUGGACCAUCAGCUCUUAGACCGAGCCACGCGGGCUGUGAACUCACAAUCCGCUUACCUCACUAUAUUCCAAUCGUCAUAAAAAUUUAACCAGGCCUAAAUUAUAUCCCACAAUGCAGUGAGCCUUAACCAUAUCCUACAAUGCAACAACAAAUUAAACAUCUAGCAGAUCAGAAAUACUUAAGACCUCAGGCGGCCACCAGAAAUACUCAUCCACAAGAUUUUUUAAUUACAUGAAUUCCAA